CCUACGGGAGGCAGCAGUUGGGAAUUUUGCACAAUGGACGAAAGUCUGAUGCAGCAACGCCGCGUGCGGGAUGAAGAUUUUCGGAUUGUAAACCGCUUUUAUUUGGGAGUAACUGUUUGAACGUACCAAAUGAAUAAGCACCGGCUAACUCCGUGCCAGCAGCCGCGGUAAUACGGAGGGUGCAAACGUUGUCCGGAAUUACUGGGCGUAAAGCGCAUGUAGGUGGUCUAAUAAGUGAACGAUUAAAUACCGACGCUUAACGUCGGAAAGGUUAUUCAUACUGUUAGACUCGAGGAAGACAGGGGCAGAUGGAACUUUAAGUGUAGGAGUGAUAUCCGUAGAUAUUUAAAGGAACACCAAUGGCGAAGGCAGUCUGCUGGGUCUUUUCUGACACUGAGAUGCGAAAGUGUGGGGAGCAAACGGGAUUAGAUACCCCGGUAGUCCACACUGUAAACGAUGCUCACUAGGUCUUGGAGGGUAUCGACCCCCUUUUGGACCGAAGCUAACGCGUUAAGUGAGCCGCCUGGGGAGUACGAACGCAAGUUUAAACUAAUGAAUUGACGG
rnacentral:rRNA from 1 species